rnacentral:rRNA from 1 species
GAUGAACGCUAGCUACAGGCUUAACACAUGCAAGUCGAGGGGCAGCAUUUUAGUUUGCUUGCAAACUGAAGAUGGCGACCGGCGCACGGGUGAGUAACACGUAUCCAACCUGCCGAUAACUCCGGAAUAGCCUUUCGAAAGAAAGAUUAAUACCGGAUGGCAUACGAAUAUCGCAUGAUAUUCUUAUUAAAGAAUUUCGGUUAUCGAUGGGGAUGCGUUCCAUUAGUUUGUUGGCGGGGUAACGGCCCACCAAGACUACGAUGGAUAGGGGUUCUGAGAGGAAGGUCCCCCACAUUGGAACUGAGACACGGUCCAAACUCCUACGGGAGGCAGCAGUGAGGAAUAUUGGUCAAUGGGCGAGAGCCUGAACCAGCCAAGUAGCGUGAAGGAUGAAGGCUCUAUGGGUCGUAAACUUCUUUUAUAUGGGAAUAAAGUUUUCCACGUGUGGAAUUUUGUAUGUACCAUAUGAAUAAGGAUCGGCUAACUCCGUGCCAGCAGCCGCGGUAAUACGGAGGAUCCGAGCGUUAUCCGGAUUUAUUGGGUUUAAAGGGAGCGUAGGUGGAUUGUUAAGUCAGUUGUGAAAGUUUGCGGCUCAACCGUAAAAUUGCAGUUGAAACUGGCAGUCUUGAGUACAGUAGAGGUGGGCGGAAUUCGUGGUGUAGCGGUGAAAUGCUUAGAUAUCACGAAGAACUCCGAUUGCGAAGGCAGCUCACUAGACUGUCACUGACACUGAUGCUCGAAAGUGUGGGUAUCAAACAGGAUUAGAUACCCUGGUAGUCCACACAGUAAACGAUGAAUACUCGCUGUUUGCGAUAUACAGUAAGCGGCCAAGCGAAAGCAUUAAGUAUUCCACCUGGGGAGUACGCCGGCAACGGUGAAACUCAAAGGAAUUGACGGGGGCCCGCACAAGCGGAGGAACAUGUGGUUUAAUUCGAUGAUACGCGAGGAACCUUACCCGGGCUUAAAUUGCAACAGAAUAUAUUGGAAACAGUAUAGCCGUAAGGCUGUUGUGAAGGUGCUGCAUGGUUGUCGUCAGCUCGUGCCGUGAGGUGUCGGCUUAAGUGCCAUAACGAGCGCAACCCUUAUCUUUAGUUACUAACAGGUGAUGCUGAGGACUCUAGAGAGACUGCCGUCGUAAGAUGUGAGGAAGGUGGGGAUGACGUCAAAUCAGCACGGCCCUUACGUCCGGGGCUACACACGUGUUACAAUGGGGGGUACAGAAGGCGGCUACCUGGUGACAGGAUGCUAAUCCCAAAAACCUCUCUCAGUUCGGAUCGAAGUCUGCAACCCGACUUCGUGAAGCUGGAUUCGCUAGUAAUCGCGCAUCAGCCAUGGCGCGGUGAAUACGUUCCCGGGCCUUGCACA